GCCCAGGUGGCGGAAUUGGUAGACGCGCUAGCUUCAGGUGCUAGUGUCCAUUAGGACGUGGGAGUUCGAGUCUCCCCCUGGGCACCA
rnacentral:tRNA from 3 species